rnacentral:rRNA from 1 species
AGAACGAACGCUGGCGGCAGGCUUAACACAUGCAAGUCGAGCGCCCCGCAAGGGGAGCGGCAGACGGGUGAGUAACGCGUGGGAACAUACCCUCCGGUUCGGAAUAGCUCAGGGAAACUUGGAUUAAUACCGGAUACGGCCUAGCGGCGAAAGAUUCAUCGCCGGAGGAUUGGCCCGCGUCUGAUUAGCUAGUUGGUGGGGUAAUGGCCCACCAAGGCGACGAUCAGUAGCUGGUCUGAGAGGAUGAUCAGCCACAUUGGGACUGAGACACGGCCCAAACUCCUACGGGAGGCAGCAGUGGGAAUAUUGGACAAUGGGCGCAAGCCUGAUCCAGCCAUGCCGCGUGAGUGAUGACGGCCUUAGGGUUGUAAAGCUCUUUCGCUAGGGACGAUAAUGACGGUACCUAGACAAGAAGCCCCGGCUAACUUCGUGCCAGCAGCCGC